UGGGGAAUUUUGGACAAUGGGCGCAAGCCUGAUCCAGCCAUGCCGCGUGAGUGAAGAAGGCCUUCGGGUUGUAAAGCUCUUUCGGCGGGGACGAAACGGUCUGUGCCAACACCACGGAUUAAUGACGGUACUCGCAGAAGAAGCACCGGCUAACUACGUG
rnacentral:rRNA from 1 species